AGCGGCGGAUGGGUGAGUAACACGUGGGGAACCUGCCCCUAAGUCUGGGAUACCAUUUGGAAACAGGUGCUAAUACCGGAUAAUAAAGCAGAUCGCAUGAUCAGCUUUUGAAAGGCGGCGUAAGCUGUCGCUAAGGGAUGGCCCCGCGGUGCAUUAGCUAGUUGGUAAGGUAACGGCUUACCAAGGCGACGAUGCAUAGCCGAGUUGAGAGACUGAUCGGCCACAUUGGGACUGAGACAUGAUCCAAAUUUCUACGGGAGGCAGCAGUAGGGAAUCUUCCACAAUGGACGCAAGUCUGAUGGAGCAACGCCGCGUGAGUGAAGAAGGUUUUCGGAUCGUAAAGCUCUGUUGUUGGUGAAGAAGGAUAGAGGUAGUAACUGGCCUUUAUUUGACGGUAAUCAACCAGAAAGUCACGGCUAACUACGUGCCAGCAGCCGCGGUAAUACGUAGGUGGCAAGCGUUGUCCGGAUUUAUUGGGCGUAAAGCGAGCGCAGGCGGAAAAAUAAGUCUAAUGUGAAAGCCCUCGGCUUAACCGAGGAACUGCAUCGGAAACUGUUUUUCUUGAGUGCAGAAGAGGAGAGUGGAACUCCAUGUGUAGCGGUGGAAUGCGUAGAUAUAUGGAAGAACACCAGUGGCGAAGGCGGCUCUCUGGUCUGCAACUGACGCUGAGGCUCGAAAGCAUGGGUCGCGAACAGGAUUAGAUACCCUGGUAGUCCAUGCCGUAAACGAUGAGUGCUAAGUGU
rnacentral:rRNA from 1 species